rnacentral:lncRNA from 1 species
GCUAUUUUCUUAUAUACGGAGAAAAACAAAAAACUAACAUAAUAUCCAGGAUUGCAUAGUGAAUCCAUACACGUAUAGAAACUCAUAUGUCACCAUCCUUGUUUUUGAAAUAAAUGGCUUCAAAGUUGAUCGAUAGGCCUAGAAUUUGACCAAAAACGUGUGACGUUAUGGUGUACGGAAUAUAACGUUAUUCCUUCUCAGAGAAAUGGAGAAAAAAUAUGUGUCGGGAUCUGAAUGAGUAUAUUUUAUUUUCAUUUCCCCUGUCGACUGUCGUAAAGUUCCUAGUAAUGCAAUAUAAAAUUCGACUGAAUCAGAUAUGAUUUUAUUUCGUCCUGCACAUGGAAUUUCACUCAUAUGAAUUAAUAUUAAAAUCGUCUGAUUUUCACACCAAACGAGCAUAUACUUGAAACUUGCGUGAACAGGUUCCAUGUGAAUCUUAUGAGAAUAGUUCAUGCAUAAAUCACCGAAAUUUGUACAGGUUAAAUUCACGUAAAUAUUUGAAAUAAAAAUAUCUUUGUUCUAAAAUUUGAUUUAAACCAUAAAAAAUACCAUCAGAUUUUUGUUAAGUUUACGUGAAAAUUAAAUGAAACAUUUCACGUGAGAUUCAUCCGAAUUGCUGAUUUUUAACUCCAUCAUAUUAGACAAUGAUGGUAUAAUCACUGCAUCACGUGAUGCAGAAAUAUAGUAUUUUAAAAAAUUUGACUCAUUUAACAGUUUUUUAAUUGCUCGGUUUGAUGGUUGUUUAACGUUCAGUGGCAACUAGUUCAUGCAUUUUCGGGACGAUACAAUACAAUUUUGAAGACAGUUGUUUAUAAAAGACACAUUUGAUGCACCAGUCAAAAAAGAUUAAACAUUCUGUUAUUUGUGAAAAUAAUGAGGGAAAAUAAUGAUCCUGAUAGAAUACACAUCCCAAAAAAUAAAGUAACACAACUCCAAGAAAAAUUCAAAACGAAAAAAUCAAAUGACGAAAUCAAAAGCUGAAAAACAUCAAAAGAAUGAUAAACAGCUGUCAUAUUCUUGACUUGGUACAUACAAUACAUGUAGUAUAGUGUACUCUGCGUGGUGUAAAUGUGUUACUUGGUUGCUCAACAAGUCGGACAAACCUUGUAAACUGUUAACCCGAAUAAUUCAGUCGUUAUAUUCCAUUUCAUUUGUGAAAAAAUAUUUACGUAACAAAUCUGGAGAUCAUAUAUGCAUUCUUUAUAUAAGUAAAACAACUGCGAAAUUUAAAAGUUCCAGCUUGAAAUUCAACCUGUAUCAGAUGUAAACCGGAGUCUGUACUCUGUACAUGUGCUUUUGUAUUUUAUCAAAAUGCCUAAUCCAGCAACCUGUCAUGAAACAAAAUAGAAAAUCCAGACGAUAUGCGCACCUAUAAUAUUAUGACUAGUAACACAAGGUACAUAGUUUUAAAGCUGAAGCAAAACGACUGUAGUCCUAAAUAAUUAGCCGAAUUAACUCUAUAUAUACUAAGUGCGGGAUUAACGGUCGAACGGACAAAUGUUAAACAAUAUGAUGAUACGUGCUCUAUAAGUAAUUUGGUGACAAUGCAUAUUUUUUAAUCAGUUCAUAUAUUAUGAAUGGAAUGGUAAUUUGGAGAUCUGAAAUGUAGUAGCAAUGUAAGAAGGCUAGCAUUUCCGUCAUUUCGUCUUUGGUGGAAAGUUGAUUAAUUGGAAAUUUUACCGCAUCUCCUUAUAUUUCAUUAUGGUUUGAGUUUUCUAGAGAAGAGCAAAAGUUUUAAGACUUAAACUAAUAUUUACCAAGAGACUGAAAUGUUACUGUAACAAUUAUACUACACAUACUCAAAAUUUUCCAAUGUUUACUAAAACUACAAAUAAGAAGUGUAAAGAUACUAUUUCAAUUAGCAUUAGUUACAAGUUUCUUGAUGUCUUCCAGGCGUUUAAUUAAUGCCCUGCUGUUGCUAUUUUAUAAAUUGCAUAUCAUAUAUCUCCAUUUAUCAUUCUAUCAGCC